CUGUGAGAUUACAUAUGCAUAUAGUGUUAAUGUUAUAAGAGUGUAGUAUCUACUCACAAAGUUAUCAGGUUAAAUAGUUUUAUCAACUAAUAAAAAUGUUAUUGCAUAACUAAUGUUAUAUACUGUAUCCCUGCCACGAUAUCCAGCGAGAAUUAUUUUGCUGAGUAUCGUAGUAAAAGUUAAGAUAUGAUGUUGAGAAUUUUUUUGAGUCGUGCAACAAUAUUAACAGCAAACUAUAAUACAAAUCUAUCUUUUUAAAAGUUUGUAU
rnacentral:misc_RNA from 1 species